CUGUUCCCAUACAAUCACUGAAGUUAAGCAACAUUGAGCCUGGUCAGUACCUAGAUGGGUGACCACUUGGGAAUAUCAGAUGCUGUAG